rnacentral:rRNA from 1 species
CCUACGGGAGGCAGCAGUGAGGAAUAUUGGUCAAUGGGCGGAAGCCUGAACCAGCCAAGUAGCGUGCAGGAUGACUGCCCUACGGGUUGUAAACUGCUUUUAUACGGGAAUAACGCGCCUUACGUGUAGGUCUUUGCAUGUACCUUAUGAAUAAGGACCGGCUAAUUCCGUGCCAGCAGCCGCGGUAAUACGGAAGGUCCGGGCGUUAUCCGGAUUUAUUGGGUUUAAAGGGAGCGUAGGCCGCAUGUCAAGCGUGCUGUGAAAUGUUCGGGCUCAACCCGAGCCUUGCAGCGCUAACUGGCGGGCUUGAGUACACGGGAGGCAGGCGGAAUUCGUGGUGUAGCGGUGAAAUGCUUAGAUAUGACGAAGAACCCCGAUUGCGAAGGCAGCUUGCUGCAGCGGAACUGACACUGAUGCUCGAAAGCGCGGGUAUCGAACAGGAUUAGAUACCCGAGUAGUC